rnacentral:rRNA from 1 species
GGCCGGGUCUGGCGGUCGUCCUCUGGAUGUACUGCCGGCCUGGUCUUUCUUUCUGGGGAACUUAUGUGCACUUUAUUGUGUGUGUAAGGGAUCCAGGACUUUUACUUUGAAAAAAUUAGAGUGUUUAAAGCGGGCUUUUGCUUGAAUACAUUAGCAUGGAAUAAUAGAAUAGGACUUUGGUUCUAUUUUGUUGGUUUCUAGGGCCGAAGUA